rnacentral:rRNA from 1 species
AUACGUAUGUCGCAAGCGUUAUCCGGAUUUAUUGGGCGUAAAGCGCGUCUAGGCGGCUUAGUAAGUCUGAUGUGAAAAUGCGGGGCUCAACCCCGUAUUGCGUUGGAAACUGCUAAACUAGAGUACUGGAGAGGUAGGCGGAACUACAAGUGUAGAGGUGAAAUUCGUAGAUAUUUGUAGGAAUGCCGAUGGGGAAGCCAGCAUACAGAACAGAUACUGCCGCUAAGUCGCGAACGCUGAGCAAGCGAAGAGUAUGAGAUACCCUGGUAGUCCACGCCGUAAACGAUGAUUACUAGGUGUUUGGGUUCGAACCUCAGCGCCAAAGCUAACACGGUAAGUAAUCCGCCCGGGGAGUACGUACGCAAGUAUGAAACUCAACUGAAUUGCCGGGU